UGAGAUCGAGUUGGACAGAUUUCAAGAGUUCAAGAAGUAGUAUUUUCUACACAAGGUAUGGGACCGAUUGAAGAUUCAGUUUACGGAGUUGGUACAAUGAGAUGUUUUGCCAGGUGGUUCAGGUCGAGUUAAUCAUCUACAACAAUUUCAGCAUCGAGAUACGUGGUCGAGUGAAUUGGAUUCAUCAAUUAUGGUUUGGAGAAUAAGCCAAAGAACGUAUGAAAAAUCUUUGGGAACCUAGCCAAGAAUUUUGGAGUAGAUAAAAGACCAUGGAGUUUCAAAGCUUAGAGGAGAUGUUAGAGUAUGACGUGAAUGUUAAAGAAGCUAUUAUUGCUGAAGAAGUUAACCAAGUCAUGCAGACGUUUAUUUUCCAACCGGUGCAGAUCAAAUGUCAGUUUCAAGCAGUGAGUUAAGUAAGUCGUUGGGGAUGAUUUUGGUUGUACAUUUCAUCAGAUCAAGAUUGAGGACCUUGAGCUGUUAUGGUUGUGACUAGCAAGGACAGAAUGGUCGUGAUUUUCAAAGUGUGGGAAAUCUUGGAACGUUUACAUCAUUCGCGCUUUGGUGGUUCUUGUGAAGAGUUAGGAUUUU
rnacentral:lncRNA from 1 species